AAAAUUCUUUCUAUAAAUUGAACUCACAGUGCUUGUGGAAAUUCUGUAAUCGAGUUUGCUUUCGAAUUCGAGAAGAUAGUUUAAGAAAUGGAAUUUUUGCAGCAUUGUUUAUUCUUUGGUUUGAUUUUGAUAUCGACAAUGCUGGCUAUAAUUGAAGCUAUGCCUCAAAUGAAAAGUGUAGGGAAGUGCGGAUCAUUAGAUGAGACGCUAGGAACUCGGUAAAGUUUAAAGAACACAAAAGAUAAUAAUGAAAGCACUUGCUUUUGAGAAAUUUGGGAAUGAUCUUCAUAAAUGUAGCAGCGACAACUAAGGCUUCUUCUGUCUUCCUUCCGAGGCAAUAAAACUAUUUUAAAAUGUCUGAAAACUGUUUUCUUCUAUAAUAAAGCAGUGAACCUUUA